rnacentral:lncRNA from 1 species
UCCAUAAGCCCAUCCUGCGUUGGCAUCUCGCUCAAAGGAGUAAUGCCCAGAAAGAUCCAAUUCAACUACACGUAUGAUAAAAGCCACCAACCGCGACACCAACACCAGUUGUACUAUUCGGAUACUGAAAUUUCUUUCACCUUAUGCUCAAAGUUUACUUGUGGUCAAAACCCUUAACCAACUAGUGAUAAAUUAAUCAAUCAAGUUGUCCAAACAGUUUGAAUCAAAC